GUCAUAUACGGACCGAGAACAAAUUGAACGUGAGGAUCGAGGUGAAGGUCAACAGGAAGUCCUUAGACGAAUGGCUAAGGAGUUACCUAUUUACACAAGAACAUUAUCUGGAGCGAUUCGGUACUGCGACAGAUGUCAACUUGUGAAGCCAGAUCGCUGUCACCACUGCUCAGUCUGUGACAAGUGCAUUUUGAAGAUGGACCAUCAUUGCCCUUGG